GGGGGCGAACUAGAUUCGACGGAGAUGGACGGGGUACCGGAUAGCGAGCCGAGCGCUGCGACUCGAUAAACCGCAGGAAACCAAUAAGUGCCAACGAAUCUAACGAUUCUUUCGAAUACGCUUUAGCUGCUUAAUCCCAGCUAACGUGGCCUAAUCGCGCUCCUGUCCGCGACUAGACCACGUAAAAGAGACAGGAUACCAAGUGAGCCGCCCGACUCAUUUGGGAAACGAAGGGCUGGUCCUGCGCCUCCGCGCUUCGGACGGACGUGCAGGGCGAGAGGAAUUCCGAAGCUACGCUCGUAGAAGUCCGGUAUAACGUGUCUUCGGACGGGACGGGCAGCACGUCCCCGCCUCCACCA
rnacentral:tmRNA from 1 species